AUACGGAGGGUGCAAGCGUUAAUCGGAAUUACUGGGCGUAAAGCGUACGUAGGCGGUCCGUUAAGUUAGAUGUGAAAGCCCCGGGCUUAACCUGGGAACUGCAUUUAAAACUGGCGGACUAGAGUUGAGUAGAGGGGAGUGGAAUUUCAGGUGUAGCGGUGAAAUGCGUAGAGAUCUGAAGGAACACCAGUGGCGGAGGCGACUCCCUGGACUCGAACUGACGCUGAGGUACGAAAGCGUGGGUAGCAAACGGGAUUAGAAACCCGAGUAGUCC
rnacentral:rRNA from 1 species